rnacentral:misc_RNA from 1 species
GAUGAAGAACGUAGCGAAAUGCGAUAAGUAGUGUGAAUUGCAGAAUUCAGUGAAUCAUCGAAUCUUUGAACGCACAUUGCGCCCCAUGGUAUUCCGUGGGGCAUGCCUGUUCGAGCGUCAUUUACCCCCUCAAGCUCCGCUUGGUGUUGGGCGUCUGUCCCGCUUCGCGCGCGGACUCGCCCCAAAGGUAUUGGCAGCGGUCGUGCCAGCUUCUCGCGCAGCACAUUGCGCUUCUCGAGGCACCGGUGGGCCCGCGUCCAUCAAGCUCACCCCCCCAGUUUGACCUCGGAUCAGGUAGGGAUACCCGCUGAACUUAAGCAUAUCAACGGAGGA